ensembl:lncRNA
AUCCCCAGUGACUCAUAAUCAUUCUUUAUUUCUUUGGUUUAUUUUAGUGAUAUGCUGCUAUUUUCCCUUGAUUGUUAUUCAUGGCUUGGUCCCUGAGAAAGAACCUGGUUGAUGUCAGAACCCUGCUACUAGAGCCUGGAUGUGGCUCUGAGUUUCAGGGUCACUGACAUUGAUAAGACACCUGCGUCCCAGGACUCGGAGGAGAAACGGCUGAUGGACUUGGCGGGGAAUUUGCGCGGGGUUUUACUGAGCGGGAAGAGACUGUUCAAAUGAGGGGGAGGGUAUAUAAAGGAGGGUUGGCCGGAGCCUCCCAUUCUUGGCUUUUCUGAUGUUCAUGUUUCCUACAGUAAAAGUUCCUGGUGAUACCACAGAGAGUCUCGUGUGUUCAUUCAGGAGCGGCUGUGGUGAGCUGACACUAAGCCAAGAAUACGGACACCAUCCCGCUGUAGCGGUGAGGUGUAACAUGCAAGUGGAGGAUGAAGAGCUCUUGGGCGCCGGAGGAGGAAGGUCGGAAAGGGCCACUCCCGAGACGGACGCUGAGUUCCACCAGCUGGCGGCCCUGGCGUCAUCCACCGCUUAUGCCCAGCCAAAUGGGGUAACCCAGAGGCGCGGAGUGGUGCGGGGAGAUAGCACCGGAGGAGAGGAUGUCGGCGAUGGAGACCACCCUGGCAGUGAUGUCGAGGGCGAUGGAGCGCCUGGCGGUUUUGGCGGAGCCGGAGCGAGGAAGGGAACUCCGGGCUAGCUCAAUGUGGGACGUGAGCAUGGGAAGCAGCCAGGGCUUUGCAGACCUCCCAGCACCGAAGGGAAGGGAAAUGCGAAAGGAGCCCGGUGCCCGGCCCAAGAUCCAAACGAGCCUGACGCGGGUGGAGGAGAGUGACGACGAAGGGGAAAAGCCUCCGAGAAUCCCGGCUACGCUCCCAACUGAGACCCUGGUGCCCCUGGCGAAUGCCGGGCGUGGCACAGGACAAAGGGAAGCAGCAGCGGGGCCCACUGGCCCGCAAGGGGGCUUGCGACGGGCGGAGAAUUGGGGAUUGCCACCACAGGGACCCCUACCGAGACGAGAGGAACUAAGGAUCGAGUUUGGGGGAGAGUCCUCUGAACUGGAUUUUUUCCUGACCACGGUGAGGGGCUAUAUGGAGGACAAUGCCCACACUUUUAGAACGGAAUCCAGCCGGGUACGGGCCAUUGGUGCAGUGUUGAAGAGGGGAGCGGCCAGCUGGUACGUUCAACUACACGCGCGGCGCGACCCAUGUCUGGGGUCACUCCGACGCUUUAUGGGGGCCCUGGAGACCCGUUUCCGAGAUCCACUGGAGCAGAUCCGGGCGAGGGAGGAGUUGAAGACCGUCUCCCAGGGGCAGAGGUCGGUAUCUGAGUAUGCGGAGGAGUUCCAAUGCCUCGCUGAAAAGGUGCCGGAAUGGUCUGCAGUGACAAAGAUAGAACUCUUCAAAGAGGGGCUCAGGCGGGAGAUCCUCUCCUGGGCGGUGCAUCGUGAUGAGCCUGACACACUGCGCGGAUGGAUUCAGCUGGCGGGGCGCAUCGAGACAUCGCUGGCCCAGGCGAGGAGGCACCGAGGAGGGCUACAGCAGCGGCCGCAGAUGAAAGAGGGGAGCCGGAAGGAGGGAUCAACCCCAGCCGGGAGGAGAACGGAGCCGACAGGGAACGUGAGCACCAGCAGGAGGGGCUGCUUCGUGUGCGGCCGUUUGGGCCACAGGGCUGCCGAGUGCUGGCAGAGAAAAGGGGAAGGCGGAGGCCCGCCCAAACCAAGAGCCGUGGCAGGGAAACGCGCCGAGGAAGAACCACCGAUGAGGCACCACUCGGGGGGGUUGGACGAAGGGGAGGAGGACGCCAUGUCAGAACCCUGCUACUAGAGCCUGGAUGUGGCUCUGAGUUUCAGGGUCACUGACAUUGAUAAGACACCUGCGUCCCAGGACUCGGAGGAGAAACGGCUGAUGGACUUGGCGGGGAAUUUGCGCGGGGUUUUACUGAGCGGGAAGAGACUGUUCAAAUGAGGGGGAGGGUAUAUAAAGGAGGGUUGGCCGGAGCCUCCCAUUCUUGGCUUUUCUGAUGUUCAUGUUUCCUACAGUAAAAGUUCCUGGUGAUACCACAGAGAGUCUCGUGUGUUCAUUCAGGAGCGGCUGUGGUGAGCUGACAGUUGAUUAAUGCAGAAUAAACAUAUAUCUAUCUAUAUAAACAAAGUAUACAUGUUUGCUGGUUGGUUUGUACCACAAAGACUCCUCCGUGGCUUGAUGGAUCUGGACAAAAAUUGGAACAUAGACUCUUCAUUAAUGAAUGUAAAUAAUGGUGGGGUUUGAAGUACAAAGUCAACCCUGUUUUGAUCUGAGGGCCACAAAAAAUAAAAACAAAUGUUAGUAUAUAACUAGAAAGGAUCAGCUACUGGCCUCUAGGUGCUAUGUGAAGAUAUGCAGCACUAGGAUGCAACCACAAGAGGGCAGUAUAUGGACAGAAAGGAUUAACUUUUGGCACAAAAAAUAGGAAGAAAAAAUAAAAGGGAAAGUUAUAAGGGAAAGGAUGGAAAGAAAGAAAGAAAGACAAAGAAGGGGAGAGAAAGGAGGGAAGAAGAAAGGGAUGAAGGAAAGGAGAGACAAAGAAAAAGUAUGGAAGACAAAGAGAGGGGGCGGGAGAAAGAUUGACACGAAUGGUCAUCAACAAUUGAACACAAAAUUGUAGAAGUUGAGAGUUGGAGGACCAUCUAGGAUGAGUGACACUUGGUUUCGCUCUUUUCGCUGCUGCAUUGCACUGUUGGCUCAUGUUCAACCUAUGGUCUCCUAAGACUCCUAAGACUCCUAGAUCACUUAACAAUCCAUGUGAAACAAAUCUAGGAGUCUUAGGAGACCAUAGGUUGAACAUGAGCCUAAGUUUGCCCAUGCCUGGGCUAGUUUAUGUGUAUGUGUGUGUGUGUGAAUACACACACAAUUAAUAUAUAAUUACAUUAAUUAGAUUCAGGUUAUUCUAGUAUCAUCUUCAGACAUAACUAUGAUAAAAUAAUAAUAACUAUGAUUAAAAAAACUCUACAAAAUAGGUCUGAGAUUAUACCUUGUCAACAGGGGUGAGAGGUUUUUCCCUUGAUCAGAGCUCAUUUCAUAUACGAGGCCUUUGGUCCUUAAUAGGAAAGCUAAUAGAUGUAGUAAAUAAGUAAACAGUUGAAUAAUAUGUAUGGUAAUGUUAUGGGAUUAAUUAUAUAAUUAAUAGAAUUAAUUAUUGGCUGAUAAAUUUAAGGAAAAGAGUCAGAGCCAUUCAAAAGCUGAGAUCCUUCAUUGUGUAUCCAGUGCAAUAUUUUGAUUUAAUAAUUAAUACCUCCUUAGGGGCUGAAAUAAACUCCAGCCUGGCAAACUGGUGGUGGUGAUGGUGUGUGUGUGUGUUUUCCUUUGAGGGUGGAAAGAUAAAUGGGGAAAUAGCCCCUUAUCCUCCCUGCGUCUCACGCUGGUUUUCUUGGAGUGUGAGCUGAAGAUCCAAAACCUCAGAGAAUUGCUACCAUGUGUCUCCAUCACCUCCCGGAGAUUAGCCCCAGAUGGGGAGAAGGCAAGCGUCCCAUUCCCAUCCAUUGGCAGAGGGCGUUUGAUCUAAAUGUAUAGCAGACCGCUUGAAAAUACAUGGGACAAGGAGGGAGAUCGACUUCAAACUUCUCAGAAACUUGCUACUUUGGCGUGGUUUUUCUCUCUUUCUCCAGCUUACGUCCUACAUUCAUAUAACACUAUUUGAAAUGCAUUAUGUGGCCAACCCUUAUAACCCAGUUUGAACUGCACUGAGUACAUUAUAUGGAUCUACAUUGACCAUACAAUGCAGCUUUAAAGCUGGCUAAUGCGGCAGGUCCUGGCUUGUUCAGUAGACUCUCCUCUACAGUUCCAUUUGGUGGAAAGCCUUAGCACUGAAUGGUUGUGUUGUUAAACUGCGAAGUAUGGAACCCUGCACAGAUGGUCGGUCAAUGUGUAAGUUGAAAGAUGUUGAGGUGGGAACAUCUUGACAAACAAGGAGUUGAAUGUCCUAUGACAGCAACCACUGAGUUUCACAAGCAAAAGGUUGACAGAUUGAUUCAGGACGAUUGUCGUAUCACUCAGAGAGAAAUUUCAAGCAUCAUCGACAUGUCACAAGAACGUGUGGGUCACAUUAUUGCUUUGUUUGGCUAUCGGAAGAUCCAACUCUUUGUUUGUCACGCAAGUCAGACGUUCCCACCUCAACAUCUUUAAACUUACUCGCCCAACGACACACAGGAUUCACAUCAACACAAUCCCCAUAAACCGCUUGCAUUCUCUGAUGGAUCUCCUUUGGGGUGACACCUUCUGCUGUCAAGAAUUCAAUGACUGCACGUUGCUUAAGUCGCAUUGACCGACCGUCUGCAUAGGGUUCCAUACUUCACACUUUAACAACACAACCGUUCAAUGCUAAGGCUUCUCCGUCUGCGCAGGGUUCCAUACUUCACACUUUAACAACACAAGCGUUCAAUGCUAAGGCUUCCUGCUAAAGGGAACUGUAGAAGAGAGUCUACUGAACAAGCCAGGACCUGCCGCAGACCAGGACUGCCAUCUGUUGAGGAGUUACGAAGGUGAAGGCAUUACUUUUCAUUCAACCCUCGUAUGGCAGUGUACAUCUAGCCUACAUUAAGCUGGAAAGUGCAUUCAAACUAUAGUUUAAUACUAGUAUAACUGCUAUGAUUCAAUGCUAUGGAAACAUGGGAGUUGUAGUGCCAUUGAGCCAUGGCAGUUCAAGUGAUGUCCUGUCCAACUGCAUUCAUUCUACAGUGUAGAUGGCUCAAUGCUAUGGAAUUCUGGGAGUUGAAGUUUUACAACUUCCAAAGAGUGCUGCCAAAGAGUGCUGGUGCCUUGCCAAAGUACAAGGCCCAGAUGCCAUAGGACUGAGCCAUGACAGUUUAAACAAUAUCAAAUUGCAUUCAUUCUACAGUAUAAAUGCUCCCUGAAUUGUUCCGCUAAAAUGUGGGUCCAGAGCCCAGCGCGCUUUGCUACUUCAAUGGCUGAAAUAUGAUGCGAUCUGAGUUUGAAGGCAAAUGAACAGAGGUUUAUUAUUUCCCACUAGAAAGGAUGUCAGUACAGAGUCUGCAUCCUCACACACACACAAAAAACAUAAAGCAUGCAGGGAAAUACAGAGCAUUUUAUCCAUUUGACAGUCAAUCAAAAUACCUGUGUUCUCCCUGAUUGGUGGGAAAGCCAGCCCAGUUUGUUUUCAGGUUCCAGUUGUCUUGGGAUUCCUUCUGGCAUCACUGGCUGAAGGAGUUCUCCCCGUGAUGACAAAAAGGAACAGCUAUAGUUGGGUAGUUUAAAGUCCAAGUCCAUUUGAAGGCCCACUCCUGUGAAAACCAGGAAUGUGUUGACAUGGCUGGUCAUGUAAACACAAAAGGGCAAUUGGGGUCACUCAAUGGAACAAUGGGCUGGUCUCUCCCACAGCAGGUCUGCUGAUUCAUAUCUCCUGGUGGCUCCGAUUUCAUCAAUGGAAGCCAGGAAGUUUCCAAACCCACACAACAGGAUUUAUUAAUGGAAAAGAGGUGUUUCAGUGAAAAGGAGCUUUGGUUCACAGAAACACCAUAGCUACCCCAUCA